rnacentral:rRNA from 1 species
UAUAAGACUGGGAUAACUUCGGGAAACCGUAGCUAAUGCCGGAUAACAUUUGGAACCGCAUGGUUCUAAAGUAAAAGAUGGUUUUGCUAUCACUUAUAGAUGGACCCGCGCCGUAUUAGCUAGUUGGUAAGGUAACGGCUUACCAAGGCAACGAUACGUAGCCGACCUGAGAGGGUGAUCGGCCACACUGGAACUGAGACACGGUCCAGACUCCUACGGGAGGCAGCAGUAGGGAAUCUUCCGCAAUGGACGAAAGUCUGACGGAGCAACGCCGCGUGAGUGAUGAAGGUUUUCGGAUCGUAAAACUCUGUUAUUAGGGAAGAACAAAUGUGUAAGUAACUGUGCACAUCUUGACGGUACCUAAUCAGAAAGCCACGGCUAACUACGUGCCAGCAGCCGCGGUAAUACGUAGGUGGCAAGCGUUAUCCGGAAUUAUUGGGCGUAAAGCGCGCGUAGGCGGUUUCUUAAGUCUGAUGUGAAAGCCCACGGCUCAACCGUGGAGGGUCAUUGGAAACUGGGAAACUUGAGUACAGAAGAGGAAAGUGGAAUUCCAUGUGUAGCGGUGAAAUGCGCAGAGAUAUGGAGGAACACCAGUGGCGAAGGCGACUUUCUGGUCUGUAACUGACGCUGAUGUGCGAAAGCGUGGGGAUCAAACAGGAUUAGAUACCCUGGUAGUCCACGCCGUAAACGAUGAGUGCUAAGUGUUAGGGGGUUUCCGCCCCUUAGUGCUGCAGCUAACGCAUUAAGCACUCCGCCUGGGGAGUACGACCGCAAGGUUGAAACUCAAAG